rnacentral:rRNA from 1 species
AACGAACGCUGGCGGCAUGCCUUACACAUGCAAGUCGAACGGUAACAGGUCUUUCGGGAUGCUGACGAGUGGCGAACGGGUGAGUAAUACAUCGGAACGUGCCUAGUAGUGGGGGAUAACUACUCGAAAGAGUGGCUAAUACCGCAUGAGAUCUAUGGAUGAAAGCAGGGGACCUUCGGGCCUUGUGCUACUAGAGCGGCCGAUGGCAGAUUAGGUAGGUGGUGGGAUAAAAGCUUACCAAGCCUGCGAUCUGUAGCUGGUCUGCGGGGAUGGUGAGCCACACUGGGACUGGGACACGGCCCAGACUCCUACGGGAGGCAGCAGUGGGGAAUUUUGGACAAGGGGGGAAACCCUGAUCCAGCAAUGCCGCGUGCAGGAUGAAGGCCUUCGGGUUGUAAACUGCUUUUGUACGGAACGAAAAGUCUUGGGUUAAUACCCUGGGAUCAUGACGGUACUGUAAGAAUAAGCACCGGCUAACUACGUGCCAGCAGCCGCAGUAACAC